UGACAAAGUUUAACGGCCGCGGUACCCUAACCGUGCGAAGGUAGCAUAAUCACUUGUUCUUUAAAUAGGGACUCGUAUCAACGGCAUCACGAGGGCUAUACUGUCUCCUUUCUCCAAUCAGUGAAACUGAUCUUCCCGUGAAGAAGCGGGAAUUAUUAUAUAAGACGAGAAGACCCCAUGGAGCUUUAAACUCAAUAUAUAUUUCUACGCACUUAUAUCACUAUUAGCCUAAGAAAACUAUGUAUUAGUUUUGGGUUGGGGGGACCGCGGAGAAAAAAUUAACCUCCACGACAAAUAGGCCAACGCCUUUAUCUAUGAACCACAAUUCUAAGAAUCAAUAAACUGAUGUUUAAUGAUCCAAUUUUUUGAUCAACGAACCAAGUUACCCUGGGGAUAACAGCGCAAUCUACUUCAAGAGCUCCUAUCGACAAGUGGGUUUACGACCUCGAUGUUGGAUCAGGGUAUCCUAGUGGUGCAGCCGCUACUAAAGGUUCGUUUGUUCAACGAUUAUAACCCUACGUGAUCU
rnacentral:rRNA from 1 species